rnacentral:misc_RNA from 1 species
GAUGAAGAACGUAGCGAAAUGCGAUACGUAAUGUGAAUUGCAGAAUUCAGUGAAUCAUCGAGUCUUUGAACGCACAUUGCGCCCCCUGGUAUUCCGGGGGGCAUGCCUGUCCGAGCGUCAUUGCUGCCCUCAAGCACGGCUUGUGUGUUGGGCCUCCGUCCUCCUCCCGGGGGACGGGCCCGAAAGGCAGCGGCGGCACCGCGUCCGGUCCUCGAGCGUAUGGGGCUUUGUCACCCGCUCUGUAGGCCCGGCCGGCGCUUGCCGAUCAACCAAAUUUUUAUCCAGGUUGACCUCGGAUCAGGUAGGGAUACCCGCUGAACUUAAGCAUAUCAAUAAGCGGAGGA